UACGUAGGGUCCGAGCGUUGUCCGGAAUUACUGGGCAUAAAGAGCUCGUAGGUGGUUUGUCGCGUUGUUCGUGAAAACUCACAGCUCAACUGUGGGCGUGCGGGCGAUACGGGCAGACUAGAGUACUGCAGGGGAGACUGGAAUUCCUGGUGUAGCGGUGGAAUGCGCAGAUAUCAGGAGGAACACCGGUGGCGAAGGCGGGUCUCUGGGCAUUAACUGACGCUGAGGAGCGAAAGCAUGGGGAGCGAACAGG
rnacentral:rRNA from 1 species